rnacentral:rRNA from 1 species
GACGAACGCUGGCGGCGUGCUUAACACAUGCAAGUCGAACGGAAAGGCCCUGCUUUUGUGGGGUGCUCGAGUGGCGAACGGGUGAGUAACACGUGAGUAACCUGCCCUUGACUUUGGGAUAACUUCAGGAAACUGGGGCUAAUACCGGAUAGGAGCUCCUGCUGCAUGGUGUGGUUUGGAAAGUUUCGGCGGUUGGGGAUGGACUCGCGGCUUAUCAGCUUGUUGGUGGGGUAGUGGCUUACCAAGGCUUUGACGGGUAGCCGGCCUGAGAGGGUGACCGGCCACAUUGGGACUGAGAUACGGCCCAGACUCCUACGGGAGGCAGCAGUGGGGAAUAUUGCACAAUGGGCGGAAGCCUGAUGCAGCAACGCCGCGUGCGGGAUGACGGCCUUCGGGUUGUAAACCGCUUUCGCCUGUGACGAAGCGUGAGUGACGGUAAUGGGUAAAGAAGCACCGGCUAACUACGUG